UACGCAUUUUCCUCACCUUCACAGGCCCCAUCGCCGCCAAACUCACCAAAUGAAUAGAAACAUUACCUGACUAUCUACUAGGCACAAUUUUAUGUCUGUAUUCAAAUGUUGUGAGGUAUGCUGGGAAAUUUUAGCCUCUCCUGCUCUCGUACAAUGGCACCACGGGCACAAUGCUGCUAAUGGAUAAAAAUUAACAAAAU